rnacentral:rRNA from 1 species
AGAGUUUGAUCAUGGCUCAGGAUAAACGCUGGCGGCGCACAUAAGACAUGCAAGUCGAACGGACUUAAUACCUUGCUUGCAAGGUAAGCGGUUAGUGGCGGACUGGUGAGUAACACGUAAGAAAUCUGCCUAUCAGAGGGGAAUAACAGUGAGAAAUCAUUGCUAAUACCGCAUAUGCCAUAUUUAUCGCAUGAUAGAAGUGGGAAAGGAGUAAUCCGCUGAUAGAUGAACUUGCGGCUGAUUAGCUAGUUGGUGGGGUAAGAGCCUACCAAGGCGACGAUCAGUAGCCGGACUGAGAGGUUGAACGGCCACAUUGGGACUGAGAUACGGCCCAGACUCCUACGGGAGGCAGCAGUCGGGAAUAUUGCGCAAUGGAGGGAACUCUGACGCAAUGACGCUGCGUAUAGGAAGAAGGUUUUCGGAUUGUAAACUAUUGUCCACAGGGAAGAAAAAAGGACUGUACCUGUGAAGAAAGCUCCGGCUAACUACGUGCCAGCAGCCGCGGUAAUACGUAGGGAGCGAGCGUUAUCCGGAAUUAUUGGGUGUAAAGGGUGCGUAGACGGGAGAACAAGUUAGUUGUGAAAACCCUCGGCUCAACUGAGGACGUGCAACUAAAACUAUUCAUCUUGAGUGCAGGAGAGGAAAGUGGAAUUCCUAGUGUAGCGGUGAAAUGCGUAGAUAUUAGGAAGAACACCGGUGGCGAAGGCGACUUUCUGGACUGUAACUGACGUUGAGGCACGAAAGUGUGGGGAGCAAACAGGAUUAGAUACCCUGGUAGUCCACACUGUAAACGAUGGAUA